UUUGCACACCGCGGGAGCUCCGAGCACGGGGCUGAGAGGGCGCUGACCUCCGUACACCGGUCAACCGGCCACGGAGAACGCUGCGUCGACCGCCGAACCUGGUACCGGGUAAUGCCGGCGUAGGGAGUUGGUCGCAUGACCAU
rnacentral:ncRNA from 1 species